rnacentral:rRNA from 1 species
CCUACGGGAGGCAGCAGUGGGGGAUAUUGCACAAUGGGGGAAACUCUGAUGCAGCGACGCCGCGUGGGGGAAGAAGGGCUUCGGAUUGUAAACCUCUGUCUGUGGGGAAGAAAAUGACGGUACCCGAAGAAGAAGCUCCGGCUAACUACGUGCCAGCAGCCGCGGUAAUACGUAGGGGGCGAGCGUUGUCCGGAAUUACUGGGGGUAAGGGGGGCGUAGGCGGGGGGGAAAGCUGAAGGUUAAAGCUAACGGCUAAACCGGUGGCUGCGUUUAAAACUUCGUGUCUUGAGUGGAGGAGAGGCAGGCGGAAUUCCUGGUGUAGCGGUGAAAUGCGUAGAUAUUAGGAGGAACACCAGUGGCGAAGGCGGCCUGCUGGGCUUCAACUGACGUUGAGGCCCGAAAGCGUGGGGAGCAAACAGGAUUAGAUACCCUAGUAGUC